GACAGCGGAGAAGUCAGACAGUGAACAAUGAACUUCAUCACAGCUCUGUUUGCAGUCAUUACUCCACUGACUUUGGUCUCAUGUACAGAUAUCAGAAAUGAAUUUGUUAAUUUGGGUAGUGACGUCAUCCUAAAGUGCAUCAAUAAGACUUGGAGUGAGAUAAUCUACAUCAUCUUGAAUUUAAACCUGCGUGGGAGAGAGUGUCGAAUAUACAGUGAUUUUGAGAACCGAUACCAGAACACAUGUAAUGACAGCAAACUCCUGCUCAAUGCCUUCCCUGGAGAACCCCUCCUGUUUAUUCCAGAGUUUUCCAUCAGGGAUGAGGGAAAGUACCAAUGUGAGUUUGUUUACAAAGGAGGGAGCCACAAUGCACAUAUACAUGUUUUGGCUAUAGCUCCUCCCAGUGUCUUCCUGUCUGGAGUGGGAGGGCAGUAAGAGGGUGGCUGUGUGUUUGGCUAAAGGGGGGAAACCAGCUGCCUCCAUCUCCUGGAGGAAUACAUGGAACUCUACUUCAACCACAGCCAGCGCUAUAGAGACCAUACAUAACCAAGAUGGCUCCUACUCUGUGGCGGGACGGUUGGUCCUGCCUGACAGUGGCUCUGAAGACCACCUGAUCUGUGCUGUCAUACACCAUUCCAGGCCAGAGGAGCACAUUGAGACAAACCUGGCAUUUUGUGCUGGGAUAAUUGUAUUUAGAAACGUAUAAUAUCAUAUUGUGUUAUAUCGUAUAGCAUAUAAUUUCAUAUCAUAUCACAUUCUUUCAUUCCUAUGUGCAGAGAAGAAGCAGUCUGGUAAUUUGGGGAUGGACAUCUCUCAUAUCCUGAAGAUUGCAGGCAUCUGCACCAUUCCCAUCCUCCUGACCAUCGCGUAUGUAGUGAGAGGAGGGUACAAGAAACCAUCUCAGGAAUCAGAAGUGGAACUAAGUGAGCUGAGAAUACAGGAAGCUGAUGUAGAACAACAAAGCAGUAUGUGUGAGAUUCUAUGAUGAUGUGAUAUAAUCUUGAUAAAAUUGUAUCAGCUUUGUAACAACUAUUUGACUGUCCUUUAAAUAAUAUCUCUUGAGGCAGAAAAUUCAA